UACUCAAGUGAACCCUCAUAUCAGGAAUGAAGUAAGGUCUGAUACUUUUAAGGAGUACUCAAGUGAACCCUCAUAUCAGGAAUGAAGUAGUGGUAGUAGUGGAGUCAGAGUGUGUGUAUUUUGCGUUCUCUUGAAAUAAUUCUGAUUUGACAAUGGCGAAGGAGAAGGAGGAGGAGAUCAACAGGAGGAUGACGGUAGCCACCAUCAACAUCUUCCACUACUCCUUCAUCACCGUAACGUGUUUCCUGGAAAUGACAGAAAUCAUGAUGCUCCAAGAACUGAUAAAGUUGAGCCCAUUCAAGAUCGAACUCUGCCACCGAUGGAUGAACUGAAAGAAACUAAAAUGAUGCACCAGGAUAUGCAAUGAGUGGGAAAUUGAAUGAUAAAAGUGCUCUACAUAGUUUGGAUGCUAUCCUUCAGAAGCUUUUGGCAGAAAAGAAGCCUUUGAAGCCUUGUGUAUGUUACUUGGGCCAUCCCGUUAACACAAUCCUUGCUAUGUAUCUAAUACACCUAGAAACUAGAAGGGAACUUAUUUUUGUUUUUUCUGUCAAGUAAAGAAAUCAAUGUGACAUAUAUUCACCAGCAUGAAGAAGAAUGAAUGAACGAAAUUUGUAAACCUACUGACAAAAAAAGGAA